rnacentral:sRNA from 1 species
UAAGCGGAGGAAAAGAAACUAACUAGGAUUCCCUUAGUAACGGCGAGUGAACCGGGAUGAGCUCAAAUUUAAAUCUGGCGUCUUUCAGGCGUCCGAGUUGUAAUCUAUAGAGGCGUUUUCCGCGCCGGACCGCGUCCAAGUCUCUUGGAAUAGAGUAUCAAAGAGGGUGACAAUCCCGUACUUGACGCGACAACCGGUGCUCUGUGAUACGUUCUCAAUGAGUCGAGUUGUUUGGGAAUGCAGCUCUAAAUGGGUGGUAAAUUCCAUCUAAGGCUAAAUAUUGGCGAGAGACCGAUAGCGAACAAGUACCGUGAGGGAAAGAUGAAAAGCACUUUGGAAAGAGAGUUAAACAGCACGUGAAAUUGUUAAAAGGGAAACGAUUGAAGUCAGUCGUGUGAAAGGUAUUCAGCCGUCUCUGGCGGUGUAUUUGCCUUUCACGGGUCAACAUCAGUUUGAUCCGGUAGAAAAAGGCAGGAGGAAGGUGGCACCCUCGGGUGUGUUAUAGCCUCUUGUCAUAUGUGCCGGACCAGACUGAGGAACGCAGCUUGCCGCAAGGCCGGGGUUCGCCCACGUACAAGCUUAGGAUGUUGACAU